CUCGUCAAAAGGGGAAAAACAUUUCAGGCGACAGAAACAUCUUGGAUGAGUGUCCUGGUGGAACAGAUCUGGCUGGCCCAUCGGUCGGCCUCACCCAGAUCGCUUCCCCCUGGGCCUACUGCACUGAUACCUCAGAACAGGGAGGGGUGGAGGGGAUUUAAUUGGGUAUGAAAGGUACAGGAAGCAGAAAUUAAGAGACUUGAGGGACAGCUGAGGAAAUACUAAGUAACUGUUCCCUCAGUGUAGCUGGGAGCCAGUUUGCUGAGUCAGUACAGGCUGGUCUUUUCCCUUUACUUCCCUUUACUUUUUCCUUCCUCACUCAGGGGCCAGGUUCAUGCAGGCUGGCAGGAGGUCUUGGGGCAGACACACAUUUGCUUGCAGGGGGGUGCUUAGCCAUGCUACACUGCUCUGGGGGCAUUAUAAGUCUGAAGCCCACACUGAGCCCUCCAUCAAUAUUUAAGCACGGGUCCACAGGAUGAAGGCCAUAGGAAGCAAGACCAGUGUUUUUCUCCUCAGGGGAAUAGCCGUACUCCCCAACUCUUUCCUCUUUCCCUAACUGUCUAAGCCGCCUCAUCUUGCCUUUUCUUCUCCCCACCCAGCCAGAGAGAAGACAAAAAUAAUUCUUGAUUCUGAUUAUUCCAGGAUUUCUCUGUUCCUUCUCUCCCCAUCAGGAAAGGGUCUCUUGUCCAGGACAUGUGAGAUGCAUGUGAGAUGAGCAGGGGAGGUCAGAUUUCCAAGUCGAAGGAUCUAUCUUCUGUCAUUUCUGUAGAAUAAAGUCUAUUUGACCUUUUACCUGGACGUCUAUGGGACAAGAUAAGGCCUCCUACCACUGGCUUUUGCCCUCACCCUGAAGUAUAUAGAGGGAUUUCAGAAAAAAAGAUGCUUCCUGAGGCAGAAAUUUGCACAGAAAUUUCUACUACACAAGAAAUGACCAGCCAUGUUUCAGAUGAGGAGGCUGUCUCAGAGUGUGAAGUGAUCUAUCCUACAUCAUACAGUCCAGAACCUGAGAUUUCUGAGUUUCAGCCCACUGUCCUUUCCUCUGAUCCUGACUUUGCAUAUUUUGACCCAUAGGUGUCCCUGGGAAAGUUAUCUCUGAGCCUCCCUUUCCUUAAAAAUGGAUGACUUAGGCUGCCCUAAAAAUAUGUUUUUCACGAUCAGCGGGAUGAUUUCAGAGAAGCCUGAAGAGACUUACAUGAACUGACGCUGAGUGAAAUGAGCAGAACCAGGAGAUCAUUGUACAUAGCAACAACAAGACCAUAUGAAGUUCAAUUCUGAUAGACAUGGCUCUCUUCAACAAUGAGAUGAUUCCAGCCAGUUCCAAUUGUUCAGUAAUGAAUAGAGCCAUCUGUAUCCAGAAAGGACUGUGGGGAAUGAGUGUGGACUAACAUAGUAUUUCCACUCUUUCUGUUGUUUACUUGCAUUUUGUUUUCUUUCUCAUUUUUUUUCCUUUUUGAUCUAAUUUUUCUUGUGCAGCAUGAUAAUUGUAGAAAUAUGUAUAGAAGAAUUAUUGCAUAUGUUUAAUAUAUUGGAUUACAUGCUGUCUAGAAGGGAGUGGGAGGGAGGAAAAAAAUUGGAAUACAAGGUUUUUGCAAGGGUGAAUGUUGAAAAUGAUCUGCACAUAUGCUUUGAAAAUAAAAAUCUUUAAUAAUAAAAAAUACAUAAAAAAGCAAAUACACAAAAAAAAAUGUUUUUAAAUUAAAACCAUCCUGGAGAUUAAUUGACUCAAAGAGACUGAUGGCUUGAGACUAUUGACAGCACCCAAUUAUCUGAAGACAAAACAGACAUGAGAAGUUCCUGGUGCUGUCCCACACUUGACUGGCAGACCAUAAUGGGCAACUUAGAGGCAGGGAGCUUCCCUCAGCUGAAUGAUCUUGGGGUAUCCUCAAUGCUUAUCUUAUUGAAUAUCUUUUUCCUAUCAUGGCUUAAUAAGUCUUCAUUUGCUAACUGUGGAAUGAUUUCUCAUUUCAUUCCAAUAUCAAACAAAACCCACCAAAAGAUUGGUCUUGCUGGUCUGGAACAGAACAGCUGGUUAGUCAUAAUGCCUAGAGGCAUUAUAAACCUCACAUCAAGAAUACACCUAACACUCUAUCCAGAGCAAGAGCAAUAACUUCCACAUCAGAGGAGGCAGCUCUACCCUCCAAAUCCCUCUUCUCUAAAGUGGUCUGGAACCCUGAAAUCAAGUCAUUUUCUAAGAGUAUAAGUUUCAGAAAAGUUGCCCAUUGAUAUCAAUAGAGAGAAUUACCUCCCUGGAAGUUUCUUAUAAUAAUAAUGUCAUGGUUCAGAAAAAAAUAAUAAUAAUAAUGAUACCUUCCCAACUACCCACCCAGGAUUUUUGUGAGGAAAUUCCAAUGAGAUGAAAUGUGUGAAAGCACUUUGAAAAUUCUAGUGUGGAAGAUUUGUAUGAACUGAUGCAGUGAUAUGAACAGCACCAGGAAAAUGGUUUAUACAACAAUAUUGUAAAAAACAAUUGUAAAGGCACAAAGUGUGUUAUACAAGGACAACAAUAUUGUAAAAACAAGCAACUUGGAAAGCCUUGGGCAUAAAGAUUAAUAAUACCAUGGCCAAUCACAGCUAUAGAGGACUCAUGAUGAAACAUAUCAGCCCCCUCCAAAUAGAAAGCUGAGGGAUCAGAAUGCAGAUUGAAGCAUAUUUUUUGUCUUUUUCUUUUUUUUCCAUCUUUGCAAUGUUUUUUUUCUUUUUCUCAAUGGCUGAGGAAGGGGGUUGUGGGAGGGAAAGAAUUCAGAUCAGAAAAUAAAAUUGAAUUUAAAAAAAAAGAAAAUUCCAAUAUGCAUUAGAACAGAAUGUAAAAUAUUUUUUCCAGGAUUUUAUGAUUUUAUCAUCAUUCUUAUUAUCACAACAUCUUAGAGCUAGAAAGGCCUUGAGAGAUCACUUGGUCCAAAUCUUUUAGAGAAACUGAGGGUCAGAAAAAUGAAGCACCUUGCCCAGUGUCGCUCAGGUGGUGUAUGACGGGAUGAGCAUUAAGAUCCAGAUUAUUGGACUUCAAGGCUGGUGCCCUUUAGCUGCCCCCUCCAACAUGGUCCUACCCAUGGGGGCUUGAUGGGUCUCGUCUCUACCUUUAAGGACUCUGUAUUGGACUGAACACAGGGGGACACAUACAGAAUGUGAAGGCAAGACCUGGGGUCUGAUCCCAUCUCUGUUCUGCUUACUCUCUGUCACUUUGGGAAAGACACCUGCAUUUCCUCACUCAUAGAAAUGAGGGCAUUAGAAUAGACCAAAGCUGCUUCAACCUGUGGCUCUCAACCCCAUAUGGUGAUAGGUAAAUGAAUGUGAGUGUGCAAAAAAAAAAAAUUGGCAACAGUCAAAGGUAUUAAAUAUUCUGCCAAGAUUUAUUUUUUUUCCCCUGAGAUAAUUGGGGUUUAGUGACUUGCCCAGGGUCACACAGCUAGAAAGAGAUAAGUGUCUGAAGUCAUAUUAGAACUCAGGGCAUCCUGACUUCAGGGCUGGUACUCUAUCUAUUGAGCCACCUAGCUGCCCCCAAGAUUUAAUUCUUUAUGUAAUAAAACACACAUAUCCAUCUCAUUAGUAUGCAAUUUUGCUUUUGUCUUUAGUAAGUGGUAAAAUUAUAGGUUUACCAAAGAAUUGUUUCAAAAUAAAUUUAUGAUUUAUUAUCAGAAAAUGUUUGAUUUGUGUACCUAUUUUAUAUAGGUACCUGGGGUCACAUAAAAUUUCUCAAAAAAAUUCUCAAAAAGGGCCAUGAGUGGAAAAAGAUGAAGAAGCCCUGGACUAGAUGACCUCUAAAGUCUCUUAUACAAAUUCUGUGGACUCUGGGUGAUGUCACUUGCCAAAAGUCAUAGUAAAUGUCAGAAGCAGAAUUGAAACCUGGGUCCUUUGGCUCUGCUGAAUGAAGAUAGAACAUUUAUGUGGUGACAUUUACAUUGGCACACUGCCUGGCAUAUAAUAAGCACUUGAUAAAUGCUUGUUUCUUUCUUUUCACUGUACAGAUAUUAUUUCAUUUGAUCCUCACAACCAUGUGGGAGAAUUUAACUAUUUCUUAUUUCAGUUUUACAGAUGAAGAAACUAAGGCAGAAUCCUAGAACCUUUUGCCAAGUUUAGAUAAAUCUGGCAACUUUAGAUGAAUAUAUUCUUGUAUUGGAAUACAUCUUAUUGGCUUCUGAUUUCUUUUUGUAGAUAUAGAUAGGUGGUAAAAUUGUGAAUCCCUGGUCUAAUAAAAGAUUGCAUAAGGUUUGAGCUAACUUUCAUUUUACCUGUUUAUUGGCAAAGUAAAAAAAAGGGGUGGUGGUGGUUCUGAGAUCAAUUUUAUAGGAAACUUCUACAAGUAACCUAAGCUGAAGAAGACCAGAGCCAUCCCUUUUGUUUCUAGGGGAAGGAAGACAUCUACUUUUCCCCUUUAUGUCUUACAUCUAUAAGGUCUAUUUAUCAAAAGGGAUUUCCCUCUUUGUUGUCAAAUACAUUUUUCCUUUCACAUUGUCUCCCCCCAUAAGUCCCAAGAAACCUUUGAUGAAGUGUUUAUCUUUGGUCUAAAAGAGAUGAUCAAAUGACCAUCUUCUUUUAAUAACCUGUUGGUCUUGUUAAUAAAAUGAUUAAAUUGCCCCCCCAAAACAAACUGAGGCAGAUUUUUCUUGCACAGCAUGACAGAGAUGAAAAUAUGCUUAAAAGAAUUGCACAUGAGCAAGAUAACUGUAUAAAUAUGUAUACAUAUAUUGGAUUUAACAUAUAUUUUAACAUUUAACAUGUACUGGGCUACCUGCCAUCUAGGGGAUGGGGUGGGGAGAAGGAGGGGAACGUUUGGAACAGAAGGUUUUGCAAGGAUCAGUGUUGAAAAAUUACUCAUGCAUAUGUUUUGUAAAUAAAAAGCUUUAAUAAAUAAAAAUAAGAAGCAUUGCACAUAUUUAACCUAUAUAAGAUUGCUUGCUGUCUUGGAAAGGAAGGGGGAUAAGGGAAAGAGGGAGAAAAUUCUUGUAUACAAAGUUUUAGAAAAAUGAAUAUUGGAGCAACAAGAGUAUGUGGUGAUCAAUUCUGAUGAACCUGACUUUUCAACAAUGAGGUAAUUCAGGCCAAUUCCAAUAGACUUGUGAGAGAGCAUCCAAAGUCUGCAUCCAAAGAAAGGACUAUGGGAACUGAGUAUGGAUCACAACAUAGUAUUUUCACCUUUGUUGUUGUUAUUGUUUGCUUGUUUUUUUUCUUUUUUAUCUGAUUUUUCUUAUGCAGUGUGAUAAAUGUGGAAAUAUGUUUAGAAGAAUUGCACAUGUUUUACAUAUAUUGGAUUGCUUGCUAUUAAGGGGAGGGGGAGAUGUUGAGAGAGAAAAAUAUGGAACACAAGGUUUUGCAAGGGUGAAUGUUAAAAAACUAUCCUUGUUUACAUUUUGGGGGAAAAAAGCUAUUAUUAUUAACAAAAAGGUAAUGUUGCAAACUCUGUGUGUGUUUGGAAAAACAAAAUACAGUUAAAAAAAAAAGCAAUUGAGGCAAAUCAAGGUACAGUGACUUGCCCAGAGUUCCCCAGCCAAGACAAGCUCUCCCUGCCUCCAACUGCGUUGGCCAUCUAUCUGCCUCUCCCGGGGCUCCCUCUCCUAGCCCACGUGUCCUGGUGAAGGCAGUCCCAAGCAGAGGAAGGGUACCCCGCCGUCCGGGCCGCCUGAGUCCCUCUCCCAGCCAAAAAGGCCCCAGCACCUUUGGGCGCCUGAAAUCCAGCCUCUGAGGCUCGUGAAACACUGGGCAAGUCACUCAUUUCUGUCGGCCUCAGUUUCCUCCUCUGUAAAAUGAGAAUAAGGAUGUGAGGAUCAGAUGAGGUAGUAAUUGUGAAGCGCUUCUUGGCGGUGUGGUAGGGCCACAUAAACGUCACUAUCCACCAUCGGGGCAGACAGGCGGCCUUCCCCUCCUGGAGGCUGGCGCGCCAACGGCCCGGACUCCCUUCCGCCUCCUGGCCAGAGCCCCGCGCAGUGUGCGCGCCCUCCAGCAGCCCGGCCAACGUCGGGAUCCCAGGUCCCAGCCCAGAGUGGCCUUAAAGGUCUUCUAGUCCAAUUCUUUCU